GCAUAUUUUCGCUGUCAACAACAAAGCUCCGACCAUCAAACUAGCGCGACAAGCAACACCCCGACGGGCAGCCGAUCCCACAGGACAGAUCCGUCUCCAAACACGCAGCUCACCUCCGUGAGGACUCUGGCUGCCGCGCUGUGAAGACCUCAUCUGUGCUGCGUGUGUGUGGGUGUCCGUGUGUGUGCACGCGAGCGUGUGUGGGGGUGUGUGUGUAGCAUCAUUCUGCAUAUUGCCAAGUGAUGUCUUCGGAGCUGUUAGUAGACUUGGGUGAAGACUCCCCAACCCCUCAGUUGGAUCAGCUUAAACUGUCCCCACUGGAGGAUCAACAAUGGCCUCCUGACCAGUCAACCAUCACCAAGUCAGAGACAGAAAUCUCUCAGCAGUAUGGUGCGGGUUCUCCUCAUCUGUCUUGGGACCACCCCUUCUACGACAUCGCCAGACAUCAGAUCAUUGAAGUGGCGGGCGAUGAUAACUUUGGCAGAAAGGUGAUUGUGUUCAACGCUUGCCGAAUGCCCCCGCACCACGAGUUGGACCACCACAAGCUGCUGAUGUACCUGAAAGGAACGCUGGACCAGUAUGUUGAGAGUGACUACACGCUGAUUUAUUUCCAUCACGGCCUGACCAGUGAGAACAAGCCGUCUCUCAGCUGGCUGCGAGAUGCAUACAAGGAGUUUGAUAGAAAGUACAAGAAGAAUAUCAAGGCUCUGUACAUUGUACACCCCACCAUGUUCAUCAAGACUUUGCUCAUCCUCUUCAAACCCAUAAUCAGUUUUAAGUUCGGCAGGAAGAUCAACUACGUGAGCUAUCUCAGCGAGUUGGAGGACGUCGUGAAGUGUGAGCAGCUGGUUAUCCCCGCCCGUGUCAGAGAGUACGAUAAUAAGUUGAGAGCCUCUCUGAAGCCAUCGGCACAGCCCCCCAUGUCUCCCCCUCGGAGCCCUCCGCUCCCCAACCAGGUCUUCGGCGUUCCUCUUGCGCUGUUGAGACAGAGGAGUCCAAACGAGGAUCCAGUUCCUGUGGUGAUGAGAGACACAAUAAGCUUCUUGUCAGAGCAAGGUUUGGAGAUCGAGGGGAUAUUCAGACGUUCUGCCAAUGUUACUCUGGUCAAAGAGGUCCAGCUCAGAUACAACUCUGGGGAGUCGGUGAGUUUCAGUGAGAUGGAAGACGUCCACUUGGCUGCUGUGAUCCUGAAGACCUUCCUGAGGGAACUACCAGAGCCCCUCCUGACCUACCAGCUCUACAAUGACAUAGUCAACUUCAGCUCUGUGUCCAGUGACAUCCAGGUGACGACUAUGAAGACGCUGUUGGAGUCACUGCCAGAGGAAAACUACGCCUCUCUAAGAUACCUCAUCACAUUCCUAGCCCAGGUGUCCUCCAACAGUGAAAUAAACAAGAUGACCAACAGUAAUCUGGCGGUGGUGUUUGGUCCUAAUUUGCUGUGGGGGCGGGACAACGCCAUGUCACUCAGCGCCAUCGGACCAAUCAACAACUUCACCAGAACCCUGCUGGACCAACAGCAUCUGAUCUACACCUAAGCCUCACCCCCGGCCCUGCAUUUUCUCUCCUCCUGAUCCAAGCAGCACCUACCAGCCAUGUCCGGGUACAACUGAGACGGGCCGCUCUGUACUUCAUGGAUCAAUGUCACCAUGGCCAACAUACUAAAGAGCAGCUGCUACACAACCACCAGGCGUCUGAUGAAAGUCAUUACCGUGGAUUGUGGCGCUCAUGGUUGCAGGUAAACUUCAGCAAUGUGCACAGCUUUAUUAAAUGGUGUUAUGAGGGUAGCUUUAUCGGACUGAUAGAUAUUUGGAGCAGUGAAGCUAUUCCAGUUAUUGUUAACACAGAAAAAGGAUGAUCAUCUUCAUGUUGGCUUGGAAGAGUCUUUCUGUUUUUUAGUCCUUAUCGAGCACAUUUACACUUGUUUUGCUUCAGGCGAUGCCACACAGGACAACUGUGUUGUUAGUAUUGUUGCUUUAACACAGGAAACUCUUUUGGACGAGACAUUCAAAUCGUUUUCCAUUUAAGUGGCCGUGUAUCUCUCUGUUGCCUGCUGUGAGUGUCGGCCAUCGAGGCUGACGAAGCCCCGUGUCGACUCAACACACAUGCACUGUUGGUCUGCACAGGAUGAAACCAGUGACGGCUUAAAUGGAGCUUGAAGCACAGUGUGUAUACCUUCAGCGAGACUGGGUUUUAUUGUGAUGACAAGUUAGAGGAAGGACCGACACUGUGCGAUCUGCACUGGGGUUUAAACCACAGGGUAGCAGAGGAAAUAAUCAGCAUUAGUCUAGCUAAUAUUGGUAGCUAUAUGUACCAUCUCUUUAUGCGUCACAGCUAGCAGAAAAAACAAUCGCUGUUUCACCUUUUUGUUUUGUUUUUUAAACUUAUUUACCAUUCAGUGCUAUGUGACCAUUGUAAAUGCCAAGGCCAAAUUAUAUACAUUAUGCUUUUAUCAUCAUUAAACCUUUAUUAUUUUCUUAUUGGGAAUAUAUGAGCUUUACUUUUUGUUGUUGUUCAGUGCCUGAAGCCUUAAUUUAAUCAACUCAGUUAUUUUUCACCCAGUUCCAAUUUACAUCCAUCCAAAGAAGUAUGCUGUUGUUGAAAGCUAAAUGAUACCUUAAAGAAACAAAAUUGCUCAACAGUAUAUUUUUCACCCAAGGUCAUCCAAAUCUAUGAAGUCGAGCUUGAACCACACAGGUACCAAAAAAAAGAAGGUGACUAAAAUGUAAAAACACUGGUAUAAACUCGUGUGGUCCAACAGUUUGUGUUGUCUUAACAUCUGGUUUAUAUGUGAUUUAUUUUUUAACAUUCAGUUCUUCUCUUCCUAUAGUCAUACAGUCUUUGUUAAUGACUACAAGCCAAUCAGUGCUGUGGGUACUAUUGUAUUGUUUAUUGUUGUCAGCCCAAAAAGGAACCCCUAUAGAUUAAUAGUGACCUUGUAAUAUUGUUGGAUUAAACAUUAUGAUGUGACUGAAAGCUUGAAGCAACAAAAAGAGACCUGUAUUCUUCACUGACAGAACUCGUUCAGUCUUGUUAAUGCCGUUGCUAUUGACAUGGAAAAAGUUGUGUGUGUGUGUGUGUGUGUGUGCGUGUGUGUGUGUGCACGUGUCAGAGGUCAACAUUUAAUCCUGAUGGAACCUAACACGCAAAGGUUGAACUGAUCCCCCCCCCCCCGCAAUAUUUUGGAGUUCAGAAAGGUACAGUUAAUAAACACCAUUUUUACUGAAACGCCGGGCCUUUAGUCGGAGUUAGGUUCAGAUGUCAGUCAGGCUUUGUUUGCAUGUGCGUGCCUUAACUGCCCCCCCUCCCCAAGUGAUUAUGUGAGUAGCUGGUCAAUGUGUGACUGUGCCCCAUUCUUUCAUAGAUUAAAACACAAUCUGAGCUGCGGUUCAACAACACAGCUUUGUCACCAGCGAGGUAACAAAGCUGUGUGUUUACUGAUGGAACAAAGUCGUGCAUUAGCAAACAGGCUUAGUGUGUGAGAUAAGUUGAAAAAAAAAAGAUAAAUACAAUAUAAAAAGUUGCUGUUUUAGCUGUGACUGUUUUCUGCACAUAUCUAUCUGUAGUUGAACGCGGCUCGGCUGUAAUCUUGGAUCGACCGGAUUGGGAAAGUAACCCCCGCCCCUACAUGUAAUCCAUCACAGAUUGCUGGGUACCUGGUCAUCAGCAGCAAGAAGACUGAAUCACUGUAAUGUCAUCUGAUCGUGCUGUUUUUUCGGGGCUGUAUUUGCUCAUAGAUCCGUCAAAUAUAAGUUUAUCUUAAUUACUCACAAUUUACAAACCUUUCCAAUUGCUCUAUUGUCAAAUUUAGCCAGUGAUUAUUUGGAGAUGGCCCAUAAUCCAUAACGAGAAGUAAUUUAAUUUGGUUUCCAAACAUAACCUUAAUCCGAUGAGAAUUGUUACAUUGUUUUAAUAAAUCAUUACCUUCUCAGUUUCACGAUCAGUGAUGUCAUCCGCGUGCACAUGCCCUCUUAAUUUCUCGAAUCUGGCGACAGAUUACAGCCUGGUUAUAAUCUAUGGAGUUUAUACUGUAACUCUGUUUCCAUGGUGACAGUGAACAGCGUUUCUCUGGAGAAAUCAUUUGGUUUCCAAACAGUUUUGCUGUAACUUAUAGUGCUCUUAUUUUCUUAACUAUUUUUCAUCGUUUUAUUUUUGAUAUGCCGUGGAUAUUAGAAGUCUUACCUGUAUGAUCUAAUGUAAUGGUGAUAUGAUGUCAGUGUGUGCAACCAAUAAACUAAAAUGGUGAACA